rnacentral:rRNA from 1 species
UUAGAUACCCCACUAUGCCCCGCCGUAAACUUAGAUGUGAAAGCACAACAAACAUCCGCCAGGGGACUACGAGCGUCAGCUUAAAACCCAAAGGACUUGGCGGUGCUUCAAACCCCCCCUAGAGGAGCCCUGUCUA